AACAGGUACUUUUGCUCAGCUUCCUCAAUGAUGACACGUGAUAAAGCUGAGCUGAUGGUAAAUCUUUUGAAGAAGGGUGCUGACAGAUGGUGGUCAGCUUUUGGAGAUGGUACAGAUAGGUGGUGGACAGUUUUGUGGAGAAUGGUGGCAUAGAUGAUGUCCAGCAGUAGAAGAGCUGAUGGAGGAUGAUCAGCUCUCUGAAUACAAAGUGUGCUGAGAUGGUGGUCAGCAUUCUGUAGAUGACAGGUGCUGAGAUGUUGAUCAGCAGUAUGUAGGUGCUGAGAUGUUGAUCAGCACUAUGUAGGUGCUGAGAUGUUGGUCAGCAUACUGGAGAAGACAGACGGGUGCUGAGAUGUUGGUCAGCAUCUUGGAGGAGAAAAAGUGCUGAUAGAUGACGAUCAGCUUCCUGGAGAGGAGGAGGAUCUGACAGCU